rnacentral:rRNA from 1 species
UACGUAGGUGGCAAGCGUUGUCCGGAUUUACUGGGCGUAAAGAGCGCGCAGGCGGUGGUUCAAGUCGAAUGUGAAAGCCCCCGGCUCAACUGGGGAGGGUCAUUCGAUACUGUUCCACUAGAAGACAGGAGAGGGAAGCAGAAUUCCCGGUGUAGUGGUGAAAUGCGUAGAUAUCGGGAGGAAUACCAGUGGCGAAGGCGGCUUUCUGGCCUGUUCUUGACGCUGAGGCGCGAAAGCUAGGGGAGCGAACGGG